rnacentral:lncRNA from 1 species
AAAGUCAACAAAAUUAUGUAGCCUCGGUCAGGCCGACUCUAAAGUCAACAUAUGAAAAGUCAACAAAUUUUGUAGAGUCGGAUCAAUCCGACGCUAAACAGCAUAAUUAUUUUAAAAAAAAUUAUAAAAAACUACACCUGAUAACCAUUAUUGCAUCUAAUACAACAAUAUAGGAAUCACACAUCAAAUCCACCACAAAAAGUCAUAAUGCAUAGUUAGAGACUUAGAGUAAUAAAUUUUUUAGUAAGAAACUAAAAAUAACAAGGUACUACUAGCACAACAAAAUUGAUGUCAGUUGACUAUGUUCAAACUUGUUCAAUCUUAAAAGUAAGUUGAAGCCAUACUUUAAUACAACGUACACAUAAUCAUCAUGAAUAAAAAGCUUAAUAAAAUUACAGUAUAUGGUAAGCAAGAUUUAGUGUAAUUGAUGUACACCAACUAGCUCUCUAUAAAAACAAAUACCUUGUAACAUAUAUUCUCUGGUUCUUAUAUAUACAUUAUGAAAGUCUUGACUUUUUCAUUGCAAUAAGCUUGAAUCUGAACCUGAACAAUGAAGAGUAUUAGCAAAAUGCCAGAUUUCCUCUUAUGUGUUUAUAACAACUCAUCAGGGAACAAAUCAUUUUCAAGAUUAUUGGACUGCAAUUGAAAAAAUUAGCAUAUCAAUAAUUAAUUUCUCAAAA